CGUAAAACUAAACUCACUCACUCUCUCACUUCAUCACUCACUCAACAGUUAGCAUAAAAAUAGUCUUCAAUAGGUUGGUCAUGCAAUUCUCAGCAACAAGCCUCUUCUCGGAAAU